rnacentral:sRNA from 1 species
GGGUAAUUUAUUAAACAGUUUUUAUGGUAUAAUUUGAAUUUUUUUUUUUUAUAUUUUCUUAUUUUCGUAAAAAAAAAAUUAAUAUGAAAUGUUUAAAUAUAAUUAUAUUUUGUUCUUUAUGGAAUAAAUUAUUCAAAAUUUUAUACGCUUAAAUAUAAUAUGUUAAGACUUAAUAAAUAUAUAUAUAUAUAUAUCAAUAUAUGUUUUGUAUAAAAAUUACAUGUUCAGCUUAAAAAAUUAAAGCGAUGUUUUUGUAAUAGUUAUAAUUCUUUUUUUUUUUUUUUUUUGAUGUCCUCUUUAAGUACACAACUGAUUUUAUUUAUAGUUUUAAAGACCAAGAAUAAUUUACACCUGAGUAAAAAGAAAUAACCCUGAAUAUAUUAAAAUGUCCUACUUUUAUAUAUAUUUAAAAUAUAUAUAAUAUAACGCUGAAUUAUUAAAAGAGAAAAUAAAGAAACUAAAUGAAAAUAAAUUAAAAUAAAAUAAAAUAAAAGAUGAAAAAUGUAAAUAAGAGAAAAGAAAAGGGGGAAUGUUUUAAAAUUACAUAUAAUCAACUAUUAAAAUAUAUAUAUAUAUAUAUAUAUAUAUAUAUGCAUAUAUAUAUGAAUGAGGCCCCUUUCAUUUCACUAAAUAUUUAUAUAUAUUUUUGUUUUCCAUAUUAAAUAUAUAAUAAAUAAAAUAAAUUCUUUUAUAAUCUUAAUUUUCUUACUAAACUUUUUAUACGUAAUAUAAAUUACAACUAAGGUCUAUAUUAUUAUGAAUUGUUAUUCAUAUAUAUAUAUAUAUAUAUAUAUAUAUAUAUAUAUAUAUAUAUAUAUAUGUAUGCAUGUAUGUAUGUAUAUAUGUAUGUAUGUAUAUAUGUAUGUAUGUAUCUAUGUAUGUAUGUAUCUAUGUAUGUAUGUAUCUAUGUAUGUAUGUAUCUAUGUAUGUAUGUAUAUAUGUAUGUAUUUAUUACUUUAAAAGGGUUAUAUUUUAUGAUUUUGACUUUAUUUUAAUAUAUAUAUAUAUAAUAUGUAUUUACAAAUAUAGAUAGAAAAUAUUAGACACAUAAACUUAUGUAUAUAUAUACAGGUUUAUAUAUAAUAAGAUUAAAAUAUUCUAGUAUAUGUAUAUUUAUAUAUAAGUCUAUAUGAGUAAACAUAUCAACCUAUAUAUAUUAAAAAAAAUAUAUACUAAUAUUUAUCUUUAUAUAUAUGAACAUAAAUAUAUGCAAAUAUUUAUAUACUUAAGUAUAUAUAUAUAUAUAUAUACAAAAAUAUAUAUAAUCACAUAUAUAUACAUAUAACCAUAAACAUUAAAAAAUAUUUAUGUACUUGGAUGUGUAUAUAUGAAAAUAUACAAAUAAAUAUAUAUAAACAAAAAUUAACAUAGACAUAAUAACAAAUAAAUAUAUAUAAAUAAAUAUUAAAAUAUACAUAAUAACAAAUAAAUAUUAAUAUAUAUAUAUAAAAACAAAUAAAUAUAUUUAUAUAAAUGCAUAUAUAUAUAUAUAUGUGUGUACGUACACGCUUAUCAAAUAAAUAUGUCAUAUAUACAUGAUAUUAUAAACAUUAAUAUAUAAAUUCAAAAAAAAUAUAUAUAUAUAUAUAUAUCAUAUAUUUAUCAUUUAUAUGUAUAAAUUUAUAUACGUAAAAUGUUUUUUAUAUAUUUUUUCUUUUUUUUAUGUUUUUUUUUUUUAUUAACAAAUAAUUAGAUAUAAAAGAAAUUUUAGUUACAUUCAAUUAAAAGAAGAAAAUAAUAAUAAUAUUAAUUGAUUUUAUUUAGUACUAUAUAUAGUUUAUCUGUUAGAAUAAAUAUAUUUAAAACAUAUAAUAAAUGAAAAAUUUAAAAAAAUAUAUAUAUAUUUGUUAUAAAAAAUUAUAAUAAACUAAACAAAACGUGCGUGCAUAUGUAAUAUACAUUAUUUUAUUAAAGAUGUAAUUUAAUAUCAAAAUUAAUAAUAUAGUUUAUUAUCCAGUUAAUGUUUUAAGAAUAUGGUAACUUAAAGAAUUUACUAUUUUAAGAAUUAUAUGAUUUAAGAAUAUUCGAGCGAUCGAAUUAUCGAAAUAAUGAACCAAAUCAAAAAAAAAAAAAAAAAAAAAAAAAAACUAAAUACAAAAUACAAAAUACAAAAUACAAAAUAUAUAUUAAAAGGGAUUUACAUAAGAAAAAGAAAUGAUAUGUGUGUCAUAAUGGUGUAGUUAUCAAAAUAAUUUUUUUUUUUUGGUUAUAUUAAUGUUAUUAUUUAUAAAUAAUUAUUUUUUUUUUUUUUUUAUACAUGCCCAUUUCGUGUCUUUUUUUUAGAAAUAUAUCUUUUGUAAUAUUUGUUAUUUAUAUAUAAUUUACUUAAUGUGUUUAUUAUACAAUAGUUUUGUUAGUUGCAACUAAUUCUAGAAGACAUAACAUGAACAUAUUAUAAAUUUUAUAUAAUCAACAUGGAUUAUUUAUUACUUGAAUGUGUCCUUAAAUUAUGGAUGAUCCUAAUAUUAUAUAACUUAAAUUAAUCACUUAAGACGUUUAAAUUUUAUAUACAUUAUUCAAAAUAAUAUGACGUAUCCAUAUUUUCUUUAGGAAUAUAUAUAUAUAUAUAAGAACCCUUCUUAUAUUAUAUAAUAAUGUAAUUUCUUGUUAAAACAGAAAAGGAAAUAAAUGUACAUAUAUUUAAGUAAGAAAAAAAAAGUAUAUAUAUAUAUAUUAUAUAUAUAUAUAUAUAUAAUUUAAGAAUCUGUAAUUUAUUAUGUUAGUUUAUUCUGUAAUUUUUUAUAUGUAACACAUAUAUGUCUUUGACUUAGCUAUAUAUAUAUAUUAGAAAUUAUUUUGUUUAGUAUAAUACUAAUUAAUAAAUAUAAAAUAUUAUAAUAAAAUGUUAGGCUAUAGUUGUAUUAUCUUUAUAUCAAUGUCAUAUUUCCCUAUGAUUAUCCCAAUAAAAUUCAAAUAACUUAUAUGUUGUAAAAUAUAGUAUCUUAGAACAUAUAACAUUUAAGAAUAAAAAAACAAAAUUAACAAAUUUAAAUACUUAUUUAUUUAUAGUUUUUUAUGUUAUUAUAUGUUGUAAAACAUCAGUAUUCUUAACGAAUUAAUAGACACAUCUAAGUUCAUUUAAGAAGAGAUAUAUUUUUAGUUACUUUAUAAUUAUUCAUUAUAUUUUUUUCUUUUUUUUUUUUUUUUUUUUACUUAAUACAUAUAAUUGCAUUUUAUUUAAAAAUAUAACAACAUUUAAGAAUUUUGAUUUAUAUAAGAAAUAUUUUGCCUUACACAGUUUCUCUUUAUCUUAAUUUUUAUUUUCUUUCAUUCCUUAUUUAUUAUUUAUUCUUUAUAUAUAUUAUAUAUUAUUCCAUUCCCUAUUUAAUAUUACAUUUAUUUAAAAAUAUAAGUGGAA